rnacentral:tRNA from 1 species
GCUGGCGUGGUCUAGUGGUUAUGGUGCGCGCGCUUUGAAAACGUUUUUGCUCAUGGUCAUGGGUUCGAAUCCCGUCGGUGGCA